GGCUGUGUAGUGUAGCUGGUUAGCACAUUGCUCCGGAUAAGCAAAGGCCCCUGGUUCGAGUCCAGCCACCGCCA